UAGUUUUGUAACUCCAAAAAACUGCCUUCUCAUUUCAUUAUCGAUCAUUACAUAAGCAGUGAAAUCAGAAACUGACUAACCACCCACUAAGCAUACAUUUAGGGAAAUGCAAAAACUACGUUGAAAAGUCAAAUAAAUUAAAAUAAAGCAGAAAAUAAAAUGGCAGAAAUAAACUAACGAACUUCAUAACUCGCAUGCAUGAUGGGCUUGUGAUUAGGAGUGGGCCGGCUUACGUUUUGGGCUGGGCUUGAACGGCACAUACCCAGGUCAGGUUGACCUGAUCUUGGACUGUCGCUGUGGCCUCCCCGGGUUCAGUUGAAGUCUCAAGUUCAUGUCCAUCACUCAUGAUAUCAUCAUGGUCUCUUGUUAUUGGGGAAUUCAUAUAUAUUUUUAGAGGAUGGUGUCCAAAUUCUUGGAAAGGGUUCACAUUUGCUGCCUUUAAGGAUCUGAUGCCUCUUGUGAAGCUCUCAGUAUCCUCUGGCGUGAUGCUCUGCUUGGAGCUAUGGUACAAUGUUGUUCUGGUUUUACUUGCUGGAUACAUGGCAAACGCAGAGGUCGCUAUAUCUGCCUUCUCCAUUUGCCUGAACAUUAGCGUGUGGGAGUUUAUGAAAAUCCUUGGUUUCCUAGGUGCCGCAUGGCCACUGGAGCUGUUUUCAAGUCAACACUAGAAACAUUCCAUAUAAAAACUGAGCAGCGUCGUAGCACAACCGAAGUCAAAUCAAUGGAUGCAUUUUUCCGAAUCAGUUCUAAUGGCAAACAAAUGCAAGCAAAAUCAAAGUGUACAAAGUGAAGUCACCAAUUAUGGGAAAAUAUGCUAUUUAUACUUCAACAGAACAAAAAGGAGACCAGAAUACCAGAUCUGGGAUUAAAAAGGAUUGCAAAUUCAUUCUAGACAAUUUAUUUAUGACUAGUAUUUUCUAUUUAGAGUUUUCUAUUAGCAAAGUCGUUUAUAUUAAUGUGUAUCCAGAAGCGUUGUUCACCUGUUAAGGAAAUAUGCAUGUCUCAAAAAAGUAUGCACACAGCCGACCCAAAAAUUUUUGCUAGAAUUCGCGAAGAAGUGAAGAGAUGAGAAAUGAUGACUCAGACAAGGAAUUACCUAGUUAAAACAAGAUGUUUGAAGGUGCACCUACAAGGACCAAGGGGUGGGCAUACGAUAGCACUGCGAUUUGAACAAUUGAAGAACUUCAAACCUCCAGGAGAUGGAAGUGCUUUGGUUAUGGAAGUGCUUUGGUUGAUCAUUUUACAGACGGCUACCUUUGAUUUCUGGUGGAUGUGUUCCUAAAAUAACGAUGAAGAAAUGGAUGGUGGCGUGGAAUCAUACAUAAUUUCGGGUGGGUUUAUGGAAUCAUUCAACGCGAGUCUUGAAGUUGAAAGAACGCAACAAUGCGAAAAGAAAUUGAAAGGGCCAUCACAUGAAAAAAAAACCUAAGCUAGAAGCUAUGUAGAAAGAUUAUGACAACCAACAAGCUAACUUUGAAGUUACGAUGCGAAGUAUUAUGGAAAAGCUACCUAAUGGAGUAUUAUAGGAUCUUAGAGAUGAUUAGGAGGUUUUGGUUACUUUUUAUCAUUGUACUUCACAACUUUAUUAUGAUUACAUUGUUCUUUUGAUUUUGGACACAUGUUAUAUUACAAUAUAAGAUUAUCUUAUAUAAUUAUGUUAUUAUUA